ensembl:rRNA 5S_rRNA 5S ribosomal RNA
GUCCUUGGCCAUGCCACCUUGAACAAGCCCAAUCCCGUCUGAUCUCGGAAGCUAAGCAGGGUCGGACCUGGUUAGAACUUGGAUGGGAGACCACCUAGGAAGUUCAGGUACUGUAGGCA